GGCCCAUUAGCUCAGUUGGUUAGAGCGUCGUGCUAAUAACGCGAAGGUCUACGGUUCGAUCCCGUAAUGGGCCA